rnacentral:rRNA from 1 species
UACGUAGGUCGCAAGCGUUGUCCGGAUUUACUGGGCGUAAAGAGCGCGCAGGCGGCUGGUCAAGUCCGAUGUGAAAUCUCCCGGCUCAACUGGGAAACUGCAUCGGAAACUGAUCGGCUUGAAGAUGGGAGAGGGUAGUGGAAUUCCCGGUGUAGUGGUGAAAUGCGUAGAUAUCAGGAGGAACACCGGUGGCGAAGGCGGCUAUCUGGACAGAAACUGACGCUGAGGCGCGAAAGCUAGGGGAGCAAACAGG